rnacentral:ncRNA from 1 species
UUGGUCCUAAACUUGCCAUUGUUUUUUACCAAAAUUAUACAUGCAAGCCUCCACACACCAGUGAGAAUGCCCAUAUACCCCAAGAAGAAAUAAGGAGCAGGUAUCAGGAUUCAACAACCAUUUUAGCCAAAGACACCUUGCACAUGCCACACCCACAAGGGCUUUCAGCAGUAAUUAACCUUAAAAAAUGAGCGAAAGCUCGACUUAGUUAUGGUCACAAUGGUCGGUAAAUUUCGUGCCAGCCACCGCGGUUAUACGAAAGACCAAAAACGAUGGCCAACGGCGUAAAGCGUGACUAAACAAACAAAACAAUUAAAGGGGUACAACUGCCAAGCCGUAAAACACUACUGCACAUUAGAACCACAAUAAUAAACACCUUUAAAACUGUCCACCUCACGAAAGCUAAGAAACAAACUGGGAUUAGAUACCCCACUAUGCUUAGCCCUAAACAUAGAUAAUAUAUACACAAUAUUAUUCGCCAGAGAAUUACAAGCGAAAAGCUUAAAACUCCAAGGACUUGGCGGUACUUCAAAUCAACCUAGAGGAGCCUGUCCUAUAAUCGAUACUCCACGUUUUACCUUACCCCUCCUAGUAAACCAGCCUAUAUACCGCCGUCGAAAGCCUACCUUAUGAAAGAAAUAGAGUAAGCAAAAAAGUUAACAACUAACACGUCAGGUCAAGGUGUAGCACACGGAGGGGUAGAGAUGGGCUACAUUUUUUUAAAGAAAAAAUACGAAUGGAAAACUGAAACACAACCCUGAAGGCGGAUUUAGUAGUAAAAUAAACAAGUAUAAUCAUUUUAAACCUGCUCUGAAGCGCGCACACACCGCCCGUCACCCUCAUCG